rnacentral:rRNA from 1 species
GAUGAACGCUGGCGGCGUGCCUAAUACAUGCAAGUCGAGCGAACAGACGAGGAGCUUGCUCCUCUGACGUUAGCGGCGGACGGGUGAGUAACACGUGGAUAACCUACCUAUAAGACUGGGAUAACUUCGGGAAACCGGAGCUAAUACCGGAUAAUAUAUUGAACCGCAUGGUCCAAUAGUGAAAGACGGUUUUGCUGUCACUUAUAGAUGGAUCCGCGCCGCAUUAGCUAGUUGGUAAGGUAACGGCUUACCAAGGCAACGAUGCGUAACCGACCUGAGAGGGUGAUCGGCCACACUGGAACUGAGACACGGUCCAGACUCCUACGGGAGGCAGCAGUAGGGAAUCUUCCGCAAUGGGCGAAAGCCUGACGGAGCAACGCCGCGUGAGUGAUGAAGGUCUUCGGAUCGUAAAACUCUGUUAUUAGGGAAGAACAAAUGUGUAAGUAACUAUGCACGUCUUGACGGUACCUAAUCAGAAAGCCACGGCUAACUACGUG